GUUAUCUCGGUUUUCUGUUGUUUGGGAGCGAACUCCUGCUUGCGCGGCUCCUAGUCUCAUUCUAGAGAAAUCAGUCGGUAAUUCGUGAAAGCGCUUAACCUGCUGAGUGGGUCCAGCUUAAGAGAUGAGUUUUGUGGCCACCGCGUUGGUGGCAAACUCUGCGGUCUCUAUUUGAACAGCAUUAGGUCUACAUUAAGAUACUUGCUUUCCGCGAGUUUCUGCAAGCCGGUGAUUGACCAUUAAAUGUGGACAAGAAGAAAAAUGUCUUUCAUAAUGACAAAAAAAAUGGUAUUACCUUCAUUGUUGAAAACAGUACCAUCUUCUCUCAAGAGAACAGCUCUGGAGUUCAACUGCUUGGGUUCAGAAAUGGUUCCACCUCUUAUUGUGUAACUUUGGGCAAGGUACCUAAUCUCUAUGUCUUUAUUUGUUAAAUAAUGAUAAUACAUACUGUCAUAGAGUUUUGUCUAGGGUUAAGUGGAAUAAAAAUACUUAGAAUACUGUAUGGCAUACAGUACUAUUUAAACUUAGCUAUUAUUAUUGCUAGUGUG
rnacentral:lncRNA from 1 species